CUCCUCGUAGUUCAAUGGAUAGAACCCAGCCCUCCGAAGGCUGCAGUGCCCGUUCGAUUCGGGCCGAGGAGA
rnacentral:tRNA from 1 species